UUGGUGGCGUGGAUUAGGCAUGCAAGUCGUGCGAGAGGGGGCCUUCGGGCCCCGGACAGCGGCGAACGGGGUAGUAAGGCGUCGGUACGUGCCCAGGGGUCCGGGAUAGCGGCGGGAAACUGCCGGUAAUACCGGAUGACCUCUUCGGAGCAAAGGUGUGAUUCCGCCCGUGGAGCGGCCGACGUGGUACCAGGUAGUUGGGGGGGUAACGGCCCACCAAUCCUUACACGCCUAGGGGGUGUGAGAGCAUGGCCCCCACCACUGGGACUGAGACACUGCCCACACACCUACGGGUGGCUGCAGUCAAGAAUCUUCGGCAAUGGGCGCAAGCCUGACCGAGCGACGCCACGUGCGGGAUGACCGCCCUCGGGUUGUAAACCGCUGUCGGGGGGGAUGAAGUCGCGGGAGGCAAUCCUCUCGUGUUGACAGACCCCCGGAGGAAGCGCGGGCUAAGUACGUGCCAGCAGCCGCGGUAAGACGUACUGCGCGAACUUUAUUCAGAAUCACUGGGCUUAAAGGGUGCGCAGGCGGCUGCCCAAGCCCGAAGUGAAAGGUCCCGGCCCAACCGGGGACGUGCUUCGGGGGACUGGGCGGCUCGGGCGAGCUAAGGGUCUGUGCAACUCCCGGUGGAGCGGUGAUAUGUGUUGAGAUCGGGAAGGAACGCCGG
rnacentral:rRNA from 1 species